UACGGGGGGGGCAAGCGUUGUUCGGAAUUACUGGGCGUAAAGGGCUCGUAGGUGGCCAACUAAGUCAGACGUGAAAUCCCUCGGCUUAACCGGGGAACUGCGUCUGAUACUGGAUGGCUGGAGAUUGGGAGAGGGAUGCGGAAUUCCAGGUGUAGCGGUGAAAUGCGUAGAUAUCUGGAGGAACACCGGUGGCGAAGGCGGCAUCCUGGACCAACACUGACGCUGAGGCGCGAAAGCCAGGGGAGCAAACGGG
rnacentral:rRNA from 1 species